GCGUUUGGUUGAGGAUGAUAACUAAAUGAAGAGAGAGAAACUGAGAGCGAAAGGAGUGAGAGUGAGAGAGAGUGUUCCAGAACCUGCUCCCUCUUUUAUCCAAAAAGAAAACCUUGGAGACAGAGAGAGGAGAAAUCACACAACCUGAGACCAAGCAGUGAUUUUCAUGGCAAAAUAAUACUCAGCUAGCGAUUAUGGACUGUGGCUAUGAUUUGUUGAGUUUCUUUUAGUUGUGAAACUGAAGCUCUCUCUUUCCAAAGACUACCGAUCACACAUGCAGCAGAACAACAUCCUGAUGAGGUCAGAUUUUCAAGGUUCGAGGACAUGAAAGCAAAUGUCCAAAAGGUAUUUGAUGAAGAGCUUCUAUUACAGCAUAUGACAACAUUAAUUGCGAAAAAUUAAAUAUUGUUACAAUGUUGUAGCAAAACUCGGUUUGUUAUUGUUGAAGAUGAUAUUUGUAACUUGUAAGCAUUCUAAGAAGUUUUUAUUGAAUGGAUAUUACUUUUAACAAAUAUGUUCUAAAAGACUAUCUUAGUAUAAUAGAUAUUCAUGUUUGAAUAUUUAAUCUAAAUUUGUGUAAUUAAAAUUCUUAUAUGAAUGAGAUAAGCAUUAUAUGACA